rnacentral:lncRNA from 1 species
AUUGCUUACCAUAACAAUCAUAAAAAUAUAAACAGAGUGGACACAUGGAAAUAAUGGAAUUUUGGAGUUAUUCCCAAACAGUGGCCAAUUUCAAACAAUACAUCAAUAAGAAUGGAUUGAAAAGAAAGCAAAGAACUAUGUAAAUGCCUAGGUAGGUUCCCGGGAGACAGCCUGAUACAUCCUGGUGCCAAGUGGCAACUGGUUUCCCCUGCAGAGGAGCAACAGAAGGGGCAGCAGAGUCCUUUUUCACCUUGGAACAUGCUGAGGAUGGCGUCAAGAAAGCCAGGUUUAAACCAGGUCAGCCAGAAGGGUUUGUCUAAAGCACAGCUGAGCAAGCGCCAUUCAAGCCAGGAUUCCGUCAGUACAACGGGCGUGUCAGCGACAAAGAAAGAUUGUUAUUUUUUAGAGAUUGCACUAGGUGGUGAUGGCAACUAAUGGACUGCCACUCAAACACCGGCAUGCCAACUUGCUCACUGGCAGGAAAGCUCUGCCUGCCCAUGGUUUGAGGAAAGCAUCUUCCCUGCAGCUGGGGUCUUCCAGUCUAAACCAGGCAAGGAGAACAGCCCACACAAGCUUUCUGAUUUAAUUUAAACUGGAAGGGAAACAU